CACCGGCAGCUCUAGUGGUAGCAGUUUUUAUUGGGCCUAAAGCGUCCGUAGCCGGUUUAAUAAGUCUCUGGUGAAAUCCUGUAGCUUAACUGUGGGAAUUGCUGGAGAUACUAUUAGACUUGAGACCGGGAGAGGUUAGAGGUACUCCCAGGGUAGAGGUGAAAUUCUGUAAUCCUGGGAGGACCGCCUGUUGUGAAGGCGUCUAACUGGAACGGUUCUGACGGUGAGGGACGAAAGUUAGGGGCGCGAACCGGAUUAGAUACCCGGGUAGUCCUAACUGUAAACGAUGCGGACUUGGUGUUGGGGUGGCUUUGAGCUGCUCCAGUGCCGAAGGGAAGCUGUUAAGUCCGCCGCCUGGGAAGUACGGUCGCAAGACUGAAACUUAA
rnacentral:rRNA from 1 species